rnacentral:lncRNA from 1 species
AUAAGCAAACAUUAAAUAAUGAUUGCUUGGAAAAAAAUCAUAAAAACUAAUAAAUGAUUUUGUUAAAGAAAAUCGAAAAGGAGUUUAAGGGUUCUGUUUUGAUGUUGUACUUGCUUCUAUAGACACCUUCACAUUAUAUUGGAAUGAUUAGCUCCUUUAGGAUGUGAUCGGAGCCCUUAGGAAAUGAAUUGUGGAAUAGAGAACAUUGUUAUUUCAUUAUUCUAUCAUCGGUUAAAGAAAUAAAGGUACGAGACAACUAUUCAUUUUUUUUUUAUAUAGUUUCAUACCUCUUUUUAUAAAUUGGCACCUGAGUAGGUUACCUUUUCCUAUAUUAUUGUUACUUUAGACUGUGCUUCCCUCAUAUAAACACACACACACACACACACACACACAGCAGCAGCAGCAUACAACGCGCAUGCACAACCAAAUGCAUCAAAUCCUUAACACUGAAGUGUUUGGGAACACCUGGCAAGAUACAACAAAAGCAUUUCCCGAGAAUUGCUUCAAAGUUCUUUUAAUCAAUUUUGUGUAAGCGUUGGUGUCAGAGAAUAUAAACAACAUUCCUUGGUAUAAUAAAUAAAACCUGCUACCUGCGAUUUCAUUGUCACUGUUUCCCUUGGCCUUUCAACAGUGCGCGCUGUGGCUCCGUGCAGUGAGUAGAAGCUGAAGGGAGGACUUGAUUGUUUUUCCUGACACACAAAUCUGGUGCAAUGCGGCCCGCGGUGUUGGUGUCGGCGGUGAUGGUGGUGGUUCUGCUGAUGGCCCGCCCCCUUACGUCGACCAUAAUUAGCAAUAUCCCUCCAGGGUGCCCCUUUGGUCGUAGUCCAAUCUGCGGAACUGAUUUGGUGACGUACAGUGACUUCUGCUCCUACUUCGAAGCACAUUUACGCAACCCUAAUAUCAAGAUGCUGCACGUGCUCGAAUGCACACCAGAAGACAAUAAUGGAUAAGAAAGGAGAUCGGAGGAGACUUUAAAGGUUCUGUUUUGGUGGUGUAUAUGGCUCUAUAGACACCUUCAGAUUGUAAUGGAUUGAUUAGAUCCUUUUCUGUGUGAUCAGCAGAGUCCUUACUAAAUUGUGGAAGAGAGAAUAUUGUUAUUUCAUAUUUCCAUCACCACUUACAGAAAUAAAGGUACACGAGACAUUUAUCCUUCAUUUUUAAUAUAGGUUCUUAUCUUUUGGGGGCAUUGGCAUCUCAGAGGAUCAUUAUUUUUCUAUAUAGUUGUUGCUUUAGUUUCUGCUCGUCUGAUAUAAACACACACACGCUCACACACACACACACACACACACACACACACACACACACACAUGUACGCAGGAGCAGCAGCAGCAAGAAAUACGUUUUGAACUCAUGGACAUUAAUUGCCAGGAUUGGACCACUGGAUGCAAAACAAAAUCACCAAAUUAACAGAAAAUCAAUUAUCAAUCUCAUUAACAAAACUGUAAUUCAAGGUACAAACUUGAUGUAUAUAUGAAAAAACGUGCGAGUGAACAAAAUAAAUGUAAAGAAACUAA